GGAGGGUGCGAGCGUUAAUCGGAAUUACUGGGCGUAAAGCGCGCGUAGGCGGCUUGGUCAGUCGGAUGUGAAAGCCCCGGGCUUAACCUGGGAAUUGCAUUUGAUACUGCCAGACUAGAGUAUGGGAGAGGGAAGCGGAAUUUCCGGUGUAGCGGUGAAAUGCGUAGAUAUCGGAAGGAACACCAGUGGCGAAGGCGGCUUCCUGGCCCAAUACUGACGCUGAGGUGCGAAAGCGUGGGGAGCGAACAGGGAUUAGAUACCCUGGUAGUCCACGCCGUAAACGAUGAGAACUAGAUGUCGGGAGGAUUUGCCUCUCGGUGUCGCAGCUAACGCGUUAAGUUCUCCGCCUGGGGAGUACGCCGGCAACGGUA
rnacentral:rRNA from 1 species